rnacentral:rRNA from 1 species
UACGUAGGGGGCAAGCGUUGUCCGGAUUUAUUGGGCGUAAAGAGCGUGUAGGCGGCCUGUGCAAGUCAGUUGUGAAAUCUCCGGGCUUAACUCGGAACGGUCAACUGAUACUGCUCGGCUAGAGUGCGGAAGGGGCAACUGGAAUUCUUGGUGUAGCGGUGAAAUGCGUAGAUAUCAAGAGGAACACCUGCGGCGAAGGCGGGUUGCUGGGCCGACACUGACGCUGAAGUGCGAAAGCUAGGGGAGCGAACGGG